UUUCAUUCUGCAGCCAUCUACACUGGAAGGGGUUGAUUUGGAGAAUGGAUUUGGGGGAAGAUUUCCCUUUGGACCAGGAGGCCCAGGAAGAGGCCAAGGAAGAGGCCAAGGAAGAGGCAAAGGAAGAGGCAAAGGGAAAGGCAGGGAGGGAGGCAAAGGAAAAGGAAAAGGCAACGGAAAGGGGAAAGAAGAGGAGAAAGGAUCAGGAGAGGAAUCUGAGGCUGAUCCGGAAGAGGUACCUGAACAGUAAGCAAUAAGGACCACAUCAUGGCAUUCACCUAACAUCUCUGUGAUCAAGAACUGGCAACUUGAUUAGAUACCUUGUUCCAAUGAUACAUUAAUGAAAUAAGCAAUCUUUAGUAGUUAUUGAGGGCAGUGCCGAUGUUUGAUUCCAUUUCAUUCUCUCGUAGAACAUAUUCUAUAGGAAUACUUGAUGAGAAUAAAAAUUAAAACAUUUAUUUCAAAGCAA